UGACUUUCCCAAUAAUGCCAAUAGGCAUCAGUGGGACGUGGGGACCACUUCUGCUUGGCCUGAGCCAGACCUGCUAGGAUGGGGGAGGCGGAGAGUGGGGGUUGAGUGGGCCUGGGGAGAGCCAGGGGGAGUGUGAACCAGAGGGGUAGCCGGCUCCUAGCUCUGCUCCUCUCAGAGCACCCCAGCCUAGAGCAGCAUCUUCCUCUGAGCGCUUCUCUUAGGGGGCUCAGAAGGUCUGCCCUGUGGCCUCAGCCUGCAGGACCUUAAGUGAUUUCACAUACGAAAAGAUAAUUUAGAGAAGGAUUAAUUGCAGCUUCAAGAACACAGAGUUGCUUUAGCUCUGAUGGUGUCUAGUUCAUUUUCUCCUGCACUGGGAGGAACAAGAAGAAAAAAAGGCUGCAACCGCAGCAGCAAGAGAGAUUUAGGGAAAAUUGGCCUUGACAGUGACUGGGUAGGAGAGAACAGCCCUCGGACACUCACGGCAUGGGCCAAUUGUUUAGAUCAGGGAGAUUUUCAUUCUGGACCCUUAAAAGGUGGAUUUUUACAAAACCACUCAUUCCGUCUGGUGGGUCAGGUGUGGGGCGAGUGUGAGAAACGUACAUAAUGAGCUCAUCUUGAGGUGCUAUGGGGAGCAGCGGCUAACCUGAGCUAAAGAGGGUUUGGUCAUUUCCAAAGGGCUGCUGGAGACAGCACUGUGGCUGCAUAAAGGAAUGGAAAGGGCUCUCCCUGCUUUAACUAGCUUCAGAUUUAUCUGUUUUAAAUCUUGGCUCUCCAUGUUACUGCUAAAAACAGUUUGAAGACCCCUCUAAUCGAGUUGGUCCCUAGAGCCAGACAGGGGAUCAGCUUUAAUCUUUUGCAGAAGCCCUAGGAAGGGGCAAACCUCCCAGAAGACAGCUCUGGCUCCAAAGAUGGACAAAAUGAGGCGUCCAGAACCAGACUUGAGGAUCCAACCCCAAAUCCUCCCCUUGCACAGAGCCCGAUGCGCCCCAUGAACUGCGAGAUCAUGAUCUGAGCCGAAGUCAGACGCUUAACCUACUGAGCCACCCAGGCACCCUGAGAACCUUCCUUCUUCUGGGGCUCCUCUUAGCUCCAGCCUUGGUUCCCUCCCAUACAGAGGGAUGGUAAAAGGCUCAUUCAGUGGUAAAAGGCUCUUAGGAAUGACUGUGGGCUCUCUGUCCCCAAGAGCCAUAAGAAUAAGGUGACCAGAAGCACAGAUGAGCUGCCCUGCUCCAGACCCUUCCCCUCUAGGGCAGAUAACUUAGCCUGAGCUUCCCCGUCAUUUGGAGCCCAGAACUUGGCCUGCGACUUCAGAACACAGCCCCGAUUUCUGAGCACAGAACACUUCAUCAUAAACAGCAGGGAAAGUGAAGCCGAGAUGAGCCUACAUCUCAGAAUUGUUUCCAAAUAAAGUGUUAUUUUUUUCCUC